rnacentral:lncRNA from 1 species
GGAAGGAGGAUGUUCUUAAUAUGAAACAAAUAAGGAUAAUGGGUAACACAAGCUUCAGAGUUCCAGUGAGACGCUGGGUCCAUCAGUAGUGAGACUUUCACAUUUCUUCUCAGAUCUCUGGUACAUAUCAGUAUCCUCCUGAGUGUGACGAUUUUCCAUAGGAUGGAUAAGGUCAAAUACAAGAAGUAAAUCCUGGAAGUUAUCAAGAACUUAGGGCAUCAAAAGUGCAGUGUAGAGCACAGGAGCUUGGAGUUUCUGUAGAGACUGGACCCUAGGCACUGAGCCACAGCGGACUUCCCCAGAUGUUUGACUUUGUGUCUCACUAACCCAGUGCAGCACCCUGUGGAGGAGGCAAAGGGCAGACUAUUUGACGACAUAGAAACAGCUCUUCUGAUUCUCAGAUGUGCGAUUACAAUGCAGCAUGAGUCCCAAAUCUGCUUGCGGCCCAUGAUACACUCCUGCCUUGUGAGCUUUCUGAUUGCCUCCUUGAAGACAUUUUAUUGUUGAUCAAAAUGUAAGUCAGUUUAUUGUUAAUUUUGUUGGUAACUUGAUUUUGCUGUGCCUUUGUGCCAUUCUUUUUAAAAUUCGCUGUAGCAUUUACAC